rnacentral:rRNA from 1 species
CCCUUAGAUGUUCUGGGCCGCACGCGCGCUACACUGUUCGACGCAGCGAGUCUUAACCUUGACCGAAAGGUUUGGGUAAUCUUCAGCAAAGUCGAACGUGAUGGGGAUCGAUCAUUGCAAUUAUUGAUCGUGAACGAGGAAUUCCUAGUAAGUGCAAGUCAUCAGCUUGCGCUGAUUACGCCCCUGCCCUUUGUACACACCGCCCGUCGCUACUACCGAUUGAAUGGUUUAGUGAGAUCUCUGGAUUGACGCUGGCUAGGGGGCGACCCUUGGCCAGGCUGUCGAGAAACUGCUCAAACUUGAUCAUUUAGAGGAAGUAAAAGUCGUAACA